rnacentral:rRNA from 1 species
AAGUCGAACGGUAACAGGUCUUCGGAUGCUGACGAGUGGCGAACGGGUGAGUAAUACAUCGGAACGUGCCUAGUAGUGGGGGAUAACUACUCGAAAGAGUAGCUAAUACCGCAUGAGAUCUACGGAUGAAAGCAGGGGACCUUCGGGCCUUGUGCUACUAGAGCGGCUGAUGGCAGAUUAGGUAGUUGGUGGGGUAAAAGCUUACCAAGCCUGCGAUCUGUAGCUGGUCUGAGAGGACGACCAGCCACACUGGGACUGAGACACGGCCCAGACUCCUACGGGAGGCAGCAGUGGGGAAUUUUGGACAAUGGGCGAAAGCCUGAUCCAGCAAUGCCGCGUGCAGGAUGAAGGCCCUCGGGUUGUAAACUGCUUUUGUACGGAACGAAAAGCCUGGGGCUAAUAUCCCCGGGUCAUGACGGUACCGUAAGAAUAAGCACCGGCUAACUACGUGCCAGCAGCCGCGGUAAUACGUAGGGUGCAAGCGUUAAUCGGAAUUACUGGGCGUAAAGCGUGCGCAGGCGGUUUUGUAAGACAGUGGUGAAAUCCCCGGGCUCAACCUGGGAACUGCCAUUGUGACUGCAAGGCUAGAGUGCGGCAGAGGGGGAUGGAAUUCCGCGUGUAGCAGUGAAAUGCGUAGAUAUGCGGAGGAACACCGAUGGCGAAGGCAAUCCCCUGGGCCUGCACUGACGCUCAUGCAC